rnacentral:misc_RNA from 1 species
GAAAUGCGAUAAGUAGUGUGAAUUGCAGAAUUCAGUGAAUCAUCGAAUCUUUGAACGCACAUUGCGCCCUUUGGUAUUCCUUAGGGCAUGCCUGUUCGAGCGUCAUCUAAACCUUCAAGCCCUGCUUGGUGUUGGGUGCCUGUCCCGCCUCCGCGCGCGGACUCACCUCAAAUCCAUUGGCGGCCCCCGCGUCGGCCACGAGCGCAGCAGAAACGCGAACUCGUGAGCCCGUCCGGGCGGCUCCCAGAAGCUACACCCACCCAGUUUGACCUCGGAUCAGGUAGGGAUACCGCUGAACUUAAGC